rnacentral:lncRNA from 1 species
AGGAGCAUUAUACUAAUCUUCUAUAGUUGUUGCUGCAACAAAUUGGAGUAUACAGAUGGACCUUAAGAAUAUAAAAACCAUGGUAUUUUCAGAGUUUUGCUGUCUACAAAGAAUGAUGGAAUCGUAUCGGGUUGUUCUGCUGCACAAAUUAUUGCGAUUUUAGCUUGACAAAAAGCUGAAACUCCACGGAGGAAGUAGUGUAUCGAGGGCAUCGGGCUGGGAAGCUUAUGGAGGGAAUGGGGAGAAGAAACACGCUGAAACUGUGGAAAUCAAUUACAAGAACAAGACUAAUUUGAUAUAAGAAGUGACUAGAUAGUUAUACAAACAAGAUAUAAGAGUUCUGGCUCAAUGGAGGGUCUACGUUUAGGCAAGCAAGUAUGAAGAAAGGCUUUACAAUCAUUGUGAUGAAGCUGAGUUUACAUUGAGGUCAAGCUGAGUUUAGCGUACGAGUAUUUGAUAAGCACAACUAUUAGUGGUAUAUUUAGUAGUGGGUGGGAUAAGAAUGAGAAGUCUUGUUAGUUGUUUUGUUAGGAUAAGAGAGUUAGGAGAUCUCUACCACAAAGUCCCAAGAUAGUUUAGGUUCUUGAUUGUAAUCUUGAUUUAAGGAUAAGAAAUACAGUUUCUUUACUUGUUUGUUCUCAGUCUGGAAUUUUCUUUUCUUAGUGCCACUAUAUAUAUAUGGUCAGUAUAACUUUGAUCACCAUUUUGUUUUUUUAUGAUUGUUG